rnacentral:lncRNA from 1 species
CAUCCCUCCUCCUCAGGUCCCCACUGCGAGGAGGAACGUGCAGAGGCCCAGAUGGGAAGGAGGCCUGGGACAGCUGAGGCUCUCUGGGACCUGGACCUCUUUGUUGCUCCUGCUUUGGCCUGAAAAGCUCCCCUGAGCCUUCAGGAAGGGCAUGCAGCCAAAGGCCCAUCGAGAAGGAAUGGUAGCUCCCAGUCAUUGAGGACUUACCUUGUGUUGGAGGCCUUGUGUGUACUUCCCAACACACCUGUAUGAUUCCUCUUCUGUCGAGUGGAGAGAAUCAGCCCAUCUCCUGCAACACAGAAGUAACUGGUGAAUUUAAAGGUAACUGCAAAUUUGAGAGAGCUUUGCUGUCUCAGUGCACACUGAUCUUGCUGCCUACGAAUUUCCAUAUUUCCCAUCUUAACUCCGUAAAUUUGUCUUUGAUUAUCUAUUUUCUUUCUUGUAUGUACUGCAAGCUCUUCCCACUGGUCUUUCUGCUUCCACGUUGCACAUUGCAACCAGAACUCUCUUGCUCAACACCAUUUGGCUAGGACACUAAAAAGCCUUCAAGAGUUUCCCGUUUCUCCUGAAGUUCAAACUAUGUUCCAUAGUCCCCAAGGCCGUGCGUGAUCUGGAGCCUGCCUGUUUCUCCAGCCUCACCCCAUCCCUCUCCUUGCUCACGCUGUUCCCAUGCCUUCUUUCAGUUCCUCGACCAGCCAAGUUCUUUUCAUCUCAGGGUGUUUUCACUUCUGUUUCCUCUCCCUGGAACAUCCUUCUCUCACUUUUUUUUGGGUGUGUGUUGCCAACUCCUUGUCUUAUCAACUUCUUGUCUCAGUUU